GUGCUCACUUUGGCAGCACACAUACCAAAAUUGAAACAAUACAGAAAGAUUAGCAUGGCUCCUGUGCAAGAAUGACACAGAAAAAAAUGCAAAAGAAAAAAAUUCCU